rnacentral:rRNA from 1 species
GACAGAGGGUGCAACCGUUGUUCGGAAUUACUGGGCGUAAAGCGCGUGUAGGCGGCCGGGCAAGUCGGAUGUGAAAUCCCGUGGCUCAACCACGGAAGUGCACCCGAAACUGCCCAGCUAGAGUCUCGGAGAGGAAGGUGGAAUGCUUGGUGUAGAGGUGAAAUUCGUAGAUAUCAAGCGGAACACCGGUGGCGAAGGCGGCCUUCUGGACGAUGACUGACGCUGAGACGCGAAAGCGUGGGGAGCAAACAGG